UACGUAGGGAGCAAGCGUUGUCCGGAAUCAUUGGGCGUAAAGCGCGCGUAGGCGGCCCUGUAAGUCCGUUGUGAAAGUCAAAGGCUCAACCUUUGAAAGCCGAUGGAUACUGCAGGGCUAGAGUCCGGAAGAGGCGAAGUGGAAUUCCUGGUGGUAGCGGUGGAAUGCGCAGAUAUCAAGGAGGAACACCAAUAGCGAAGGCAGCUCGCUGGGACGGUACUGACGCUAAGGCGCGAAAGCGUGGGGAGCGAACAGG
rnacentral:rRNA from 1 species